rnacentral:rRNA from 1 species
GACGAACGCUGGCGGCGUGCUUAACACAUGCAAGUCGAACGGAAAGGCCCUGCUUUUGUGGGGUGCUCGAGUGGCGAACGGGUGAGUAACACGUGAGUAACCUGCCCUUGACUUUGGGAUAACUUCAGGAAACUGGGGCUAAUACCGGAUAGGAGCUCCUGCUGCAUGGUGGGGGUUGGAAAGUUUCGGCGGUUGGGGAUGGACUCGCGGCUUAUCAGCUUGUUGGUGGGGUAGUGGCUUACCAAGGCUUUGACGGGUAGCCGGCCUGAGAGGGUGACCGGCCACAUUGGGACUGGGAUACGGCCCAGACUCCUACGGGAGGCAGCAGUGGGGAAUAUUGCACAAUGGGCGGAAGCCUGAUGCAGCAACGCCGCGGGCGGGAUGACGGCCUUCGGGUUGUAAACCGCUUUCGCCUGUGACGAAGCGUGAGUGACGGUAAUGGGUAAAGAAGCACCGGCUAACUACGUGC